AGCAGUAUGGUGUAAUGUGCACACUGGGUUCUCUUAGUUCAGGGCUGCAUGGGAAUUGACCCUGAGGUCCUCGUUCGAAUCGAGGUACUGCUC